rnacentral:rRNA from 1 species
AUUGAACGCUGGCGGCAUGCUUUACACAUGCAAGUCGAACGGUAACAGGGAGCUUGCUCCGCUGACGAGUGGCGAACGGGUGAGUAAUGCGUCGGAACGUGCCGAGUAGUGGGGGAUAACGCAGCGAAAGUUGUGCUAAUACCGCAUACGUACUGAGGUAGAAAGUGGGGGACCUUCGGGCCUCACGCUAUUCGAGCGGCCGACGCCUGAUUAGCUAGUAGGUGAGGUAAAGGCUCACCUAGGCGACGAUCAGUAGCGGGUCUGAGAGGAUGAUCCGACGCACUGGGACUGAGAGACGGCCCAGACUCCUACUGGAGGCAGCAGUGGGGAAUUUUGGACAAUGGGCGAAAGCCUGAUCCAGCCAUGCCGCGUGUCUGAAGAAGGCCUUCGGGUUGUAAAGGACUUUCAGACGGAAAGAAAUCUCCCAGGAUAAUACCUUGGGAGGAUGACGGUACCGUAAGAAGAAGCACCGGCUAACUACGUGCCAGCAGCCGCCGUAAAAC